rnacentral:rRNA from 1 species
GACGAACGCUGGCGGCGUGCCUAAUACAUGCAAGUAGAACGCUGAAGGAGGAGCUUGCUUCUCCGGAUGAGUUGCGAACGGGUGAGUAACGCGUAGGUAACCUGCCUGGUAGCGGGGGAUAACUAUUGGAAACGAUAGCUAAUACCGCAUAACAGUAGAUAUCGCAUGAUAUCUGCUUGAAAGGUGCAAUUGCAUCACUACCAGAUGGACCUGCGUUGUAUUAGCUAGUUGGUGAGGUAACGGCUCACCAAGGCGACGAUACAUAGCCGACCUGAGAGGGUGAUCGGCCACACUGGGACGGAGACACGGCCCAGACUCCUACGGGAGGCAGCAGUAGGGAAUCUUCGGCAAGGGACGGAAGUCUGACCGAGCAACGCCGCGUGAGUGAAGAAGGUUUUCGGAUCGUAAAGCUCUGUUGUAAGAGAAGAACGAGUGUGAGAGUGGAAAGUUCACACUGUGACGGUAUCUUACCAGAAAGGGACGGCUAACUACGUG